rnacentral:tRNA from 1 species
UUAAAAAUUAGAUAAAUAAAGCUUUUGGGCUCAUACCUCAAUUAUAAAGGAAACUCCUUUUUUUUAAA